GAUGGGAGCUUGCUCCCUGAAGUCAGCGGCGGACGGGUGCAGUAACACGUGGGCAACCUGCCUGUAAGACUGGGAUAACUCCGGGAAACCGGGGCUAAUACCGGAUAAUUCUUUCCCUCACAUGAGGGAAAGCUGAAAGAUGGUUUCGGCUAUCACUUACAGAUGGGCCCGCGGCGCAUUAGCUAGUUGGUGAGGUAACGGCUCACCAAGGCAACGAUGCGUAGCCGACCUGAGAGGGUGAUCGGCCACACUGGGACUGAGACACGGCCCAGACUCCUACGGGAGGCAGCAGUAGGGAAUCUUCCGCAAUGGACGAAAGUCUGACGGAGCAACGCCGCGUGAGUGAUGAAGGUUUUCGGAUCGUAAAACUCUGUUGUUAGGGAAGAACAAGUACCGGAGUAACUGCCGGUACCUUGACGGUACCUAACCAGAAAGCCACGGCUAACUACGUGCCAGCAGCCGCGGUAAUACGUAGGUGGCAAGCGUUGUCCGGAAUUAUUGGGCUUAAAGCGCGCGCAGGCGGUUCCUUAAGUCUGAUGUGAAGGCCCCCGGCUCACCCGGGGAGGUUCAUUGGAACCUGGGGAACUUGAGUGCAGAGAGAAGAGUGGAAUUCCACGUGUAGCGGUGAAAUGCGUAGAGAUGUGGAGGAACACCAGUGGCGAAGGCGACUCUUUGGUCUGUAACUGACGCUGAGGCGCGAAAGCGUGGGGAGCAUACAGGAUUAGAUACCCUGGUAGUCCACGCCGUAAACGAUGAGUGCUAAGUGUUACAGGGUUUCCGCCCUUUAGUGCUGCA
rnacentral:rRNA from 1 species